rnacentral:rRNA from 1 species
AUGCCGGUCACGAUGUUGGCGACGCUCGUGGCGCCGUUCUCCCUCCGGUGGGCGACAUCGAGACCCUCUCCUCGCCUCCACCCCAUGGUCCCGGGCGAAAGCCUAAAAUCUCUUGAUUGGGCGGCGACGGCGCAUCGGCGUCGUUUUCUUCUUGAAGACGCUGCCUUGGGAGCCCAGGAUGGUCAGGGGCUCGGCGCGGUGGUGGUUUGCCUGUUUCUGUCGUGUCCGUGCUCGGCAAUGGUGGUGGGCUUCUUGGUCUUGGCCGGUGACGGGCGCGAUGUAUGGGUUCCUGUGAGAGGUGAGGUGGCCAGGGCUCGUCCUCUCCCCGGCAACAUGUUGGCCAGUCCAUCCGUGCUCGGGGGUGAGCUGUUCUGCCUCCUGACGGGUCGGCGUCCUUCGAUCCAGGACGAGAGGGCAGGGGUGACCUCUUCGGAGGCAGCGGCGGAAGGUAGGACAACAGGGUUGGCCCUUGGGAGUUGA